ACACCGGCUGGCCGUUCCGGAGAUGAAUGAACCGCCGGAUAUAUAUAUCCUGAGUCGAUCGGAUACAACGCUCGCUAUCCUCCUUCUAAAUGAAUGUGAAAACACCUGUGUGUGCGUGUGUACUGUACGUGUGUGUUUAUAUUCCGAGUUGAUGUUGUGCUUCUGGUCGCCUCUGUGCCUGCCUCUCUACUCUUCGGCUGUGCCUGCAGUCUGCGGAUCAUCUGGUUUCCUCUCUCUGCCUUCAGUGCUGGUUGCGAGCGAGCUGUAGCCAGAAGUUAAAGAUCGAACCCAGUUCAACACUCUCUAAACAUAAACAUAAGGAAUCCAUCUCGCAGCAACAGUUUGGAAACUGGCAGCACCAAGUAGAGGCCAUGCUAUGAGCCCAGCCAUUGUCUGAUGCCCAACAGGCCGACUUUGUCUUCAGUGCCCUGGAUGGAGAAGCGCGACGAGAAAUUGCCUUGCUCGAACAAACCCAAAGAAACUAUGGCAACAAAAUUUUACAAGCUUUAGAAUUAGUCUACGAAGGGUUCGGUGAGAGUGGAACUACAAUGACAUCUGCGAAGACAUCCCCAACAAAGCUUCAAAGUGAUUGCCGCUGAGGCACAAGCUUUAGAGGAGGAGCUAGGUGAGUCCACGGAUACUGUGCAAACUAAUGCUAUACGGUUCAACUCUGCCCUCCCAGAAUCCUCUAGCGACCGGCUAAAGCGGGAAGAGAAGACCAUGGACCAAUGGAGGGAGACUAGAGCUACAACAGGACUUGGCAGACCAGGUCAAGGCCCUAGGAGCCCAGCUACUAGAGGAACUGCGCCCCGACCAGCUCCAAUACCAACGGCAGCAGCCACCCUGGAUAACACCCAAACCCGAUCAGUACCCAAGCCAGGACCAGGUUUCUGGUGGGGACAGGGCAGCCAGAGCUCUUCCUCGCUACAGCUGGGGUGAGGAGGGGCGUCCCAUAUGCCUGGAUUGUGGAGUGGCGGGACAUGUACAGCGCCACUGCCCCCAACGCCAGCGACAGUCGGGUUUUCAACAGAGGACACCUGAAGACCCAGAGACCAUCGAGGUGGUGGUCAGUAGUGUGUCCACAAACCCACAAGGUCAGCACCCUGCUUUGUCGAUCCAAGGCGACAGUUCCGCGCACCGUUCACCAAGUUCGAUCAUUUCUCGGCUUUGUGGGAUAUUAUUCAUUUGCGGUGCCUUCAUUUCGUCUGCCUACAAAUGUAGGUUUAACAAGCUGCAAAAAAAAGCUUACACUGGGUGCAGCAAAAAUCCCAGCUAUCCACAAGUUUCUUACGUCCCAUGUCUAAUUACAGUCAUUUUAAUUGGAUAGCCUAUAUAUUGCGCACUUAAAAGCCUAAUACAGCAUGUCCAAUGAUCAUUAUUUGUGUAGCCUAAAGUGAAUCCUUACUCAAUAUUGAUUCGCAUUGUUUAUUAUCACAUAUGAACAUCACAUUAUAGCCUAGGACUUCGAGAUACGGGGCAAACUUCUACCACCAUUCCCAAAAUGUUAUCCCAAACAAUGAGGUGAAGCACGUUCCCGAACAAGUUUUCCUCUGAAGGAAUAUCUAAUCUUCAUGAAAGCUAACCCUCUGGAGUUUCUUGUUUGUAUCUAGAUUAUAUGACAGCGACUGUCAUAGGAUUAAAGAAGCAUUAUUUCACAUGAAUCUGCUACUGUGCCUAAAAGUUUUCCA